GAUUCUGUGGCGUUGGUUCAGCGCGCUUGUCCGGCAAACGGAAGCUGUAGGUUUUAAUCCUACUAGACUCA
rnacentral:tRNA from 1 species